rnacentral:lncRNA from 1 species
GCCAGCCCAGAAGGCCAUGUAAGAGCUCCCAAAUGUAGUGUUUGUUAUGUGGGAACAUAGGGGCGAGAAGUCUGGGGCGAGGCCUGUGGGAUCAUUGGGGCGGCCUCGCCCCUGCCGAGCCCCUGAACCCCCCAGCGUGCCCCCCAGUAACCCUCCGGCAGUCGCUGACGGCCGAGCUCAGACCGCCGCGCUUCCUGAGCUGUAAACUUACUUUAGUAAUGUAGUUGCAUGUAGUGUAUGCUUCCUGAGCAUAGGAAGCACCUGAGCAGCUGGCUGUGUCGACCGAGGCAGCAAUGAACCCCCCCGGUCACUGCUGUCACUUGGCGCAUGGCUUUAGCGGUUGAUAUCAAUAGUCUGUUAUGCAUUUAGAGUACUUGUCCCAGAAAUUCGGGCUUUUCGGGUGUCUCAGAGAAAGUGGUCGAGCGUCCCCCGGCCGGGGGACGCAAACCCAUGUUUGUCAACUCGUCGAGUUGUGUAUUUGAACUUGGCCACACUGUGUAUAUUGACUAAUGCCUAUAAAAAUCAAUCAACCCCAACACCCAAAGCCUUCCAGGAGUGUAGAGUACUUUACAUCACCGGGUUGAGGCCGUUUUCUCCUUCUUACAUCCUUCCUAGUACACUAAGUUAAAAGCUGACAUCUUUCCCAGUACAUUACGCAGGCCUUCCGUUGGGGUCUGAGGGAAAAACGCUGGCCUCUGCAUGGGGUUCCUGCGGGCCUUCAACUUCAAGCAGCCAAUUUACAUAUGCUGUGAUAACUGAUAUACCGGUGUACAUAUAAUUUAUAUACUACAUUUCAUUAUAGAGCGUUUGCUCGCUCUCCCUCAUUCCGCCCCUCGCCAGUCGCUAUUUUGCUUUGUAAACACAAAAAUAAGGCUAGUUCUAAUGUCAGUAGAACAAGAGCUGGUGGCUGAGGCUGCUUUGUUGGCUUGGGACGCGAGUUCUCGCGCUGCUGACCGCUCGUUGACCAGCUCGGCGACGCUGCUGCUGAGACGUCAGCUGAAGCCAGCUAUCACACGAGACUUACAACUGUGCCUCAUAAAUGAUCAGCUGUGCUUUUAAUGUUUUAAUGGGGAAGUCUUGGUCAAAAACGCCAUAGAUUCAACAUCACGUUCAGCACGACCGUUGUCGCGCCUCACGGAAGUCCACAGGCUAGUCCACAGGUUAAAAUGAAGACGGGAGGCUUUAAACCUGCAGCCUGGAUUGCCCGCCCGGCCAUAUGUCACAACCCCGUGUGUGUAUGUGUACUUGCAGGAUCAUCCUCCGCCAUGCUCUUGAGGACGAUUCUAGGAGCUGUUCGAGGGUGAGUCCAUGGGAAAUAUGUUUGAGGAGAUGCCGUAGAUGCAGGUAGAUGCAGGUCCCCAGCGGCUGCAACCCUGGCGCAAGAUGGUUCGCAACCCCUUCACUCACAUUGUGUUCGCUAGUCGGAGCCCCAGCCAUCAAGAGAUGACUGUUUGCUGCCUCCCUUACUAGCGCUGUAUGGUAUGUAUGUCUAUAUCACUUCCUGGUACCUCUAGUCCGUGUCACAUACCCGCCUGCUGCCACACGCCCCUUCCCCCAGGUC